rnacentral:rRNA from 2 species
UACGUAGGCAGCAAGCGUUGUUCGGAAUUACUGGGCGUAAAGAGUACGUAGGUGGUUUGCUAAGUCCGAUGUGAAAUCUCCCGGCUUAACUGGGAGGGUGCGUUAGAUACUGGCAGGCUUGAGUGUGGGAGAGGAGAGCGGAAUUCCUGGUGUAGCGGUGAAAUGCGUAGAUAUCAGGAGGAACGCCUGUGGUGUAGACGGCUCUCUGGACCAUUACUGACACUGAGGUACGAAAGCGUGGGUAGCAAACAGG